rnacentral:piRNA from 1 species
CGAGAUAAAGGAAAGAAGAGUGAGAAUC